AGAGUUUGAUCCUGGCUCAGAUUGAACGCUGGCGGCAGGCCUAACACAUGCAAGUCGAACGGUAACAGGAAGCAGCUUGCUGCUUUGCUGACGAGUGGCGGACGGGUGAGUAAUGUCUGGGAAACUGCCUGAUGGAGGGGGAUAACUACUGGAAACGGUAGCUAAUACCGCAUAAUGUCGCAAGACCAAAGAGGGGGACCUUCGGGCCUCUUGCCAUCGGAUGUGCCCAGAUGGGAUUAGCUAGUAGG
rnacentral:rRNA from 1 species